CUUUUAAAGGGUAGUAGUUAUCCACUGGCUUUAGACGCC
rnacentral:tRNA from 1 species